rfam:Felis catus isolate Cinnamon breed Abyssinian chromosome X, whole genome shotgun sequence.
GCCUCUGUGGCUCAGUCGGUUAAGCAUCUGACUUCGGCUCAGGUCAUGAUCCAUGGUUUGUGGGUUCGAGCCCCACAUCGGGCU